AAUUCGGCUGUGUGACCAGAAGGGGUGGAGCCUGGCUGCACCUCUCUUAGACCUCAUUUAAGUGCUGACUGCCCCUGGGGAAGGGUCUCUUUCUGGAGAUCCCUCCUUGGUGGAUUUUUCCCCUCUGAACCUGGAAUCUUCUGGUAUGGUGCACAAUGACCUUCAGUGCCAGCUCAGCUGCUGAACUGGAAAAGCCACUCAUAAAGAGCUCAGCACAAAUGUGACAGGGGCUUGAAUGUCCCUGAUGCUGUGAUGGGGGGUGGGACCCCAGUCAGCCCUGUCCUGGCAGUGUGACCCCUGGAGGAGGUAGAGAGGUUGUGGUGCAGCAUGGGAGAGCAAUGUGCACCUGCUGGAGGAGGAGAAGAAAAUGGGGAGCCCCAAACUGCUGGAGUGUUAAUGAACUCUGGUGCUUCUGGUGUCUCCUGUGUUUGUUUUUCCUUGCUGAGCCCAACCGUAAAUAUAAAGCAAAUAUAAAUGCUUAUGUACCAGUAAUGUCUUGUUUUCCCUCUCUCUUCCCAAAGUCACCCUGCUGUACUGUGAACCCCCAACAUAUUGUUAAUUAGGAAUGAAUCAGUGUGCCUCUGAUUAAAAUCCUUCCUACUUCAUGGCUUUUAACUAACUACAGUGUCUCUGGGUUUGUGCCAGCUUUGGUUUUAAACCUUUGAAGAAUCUCUAAUCCGCACAGCACAGACCAGCCAAUUAUUUUUUGUUAUAAACAGUAAAUAUCUAUCGAACAUAGAUAUUUUUGUUGCAGAUAAGGAUGCUCCUUGAGGAGCUCAGUAUCCUUCUCCAUAAUUUGCUGGGGUAGAAAAUACCUGAGAUGUACUUUAAUCAACUUUGUACUGUGUGGG
ensembl:lncRNA